GGAAAACGAAAAGAAGAAGAGAAGAAAAAACAUGGCGGCCGCUGCCUCCGGUCUCCAGUCUGGGACUCCGUUUCGAAAUUAAGGAGGGAAAAGUGGCGGCGGAACCCUUCCGCUCCGGCUCCGGCUCCGGUGUCGGCGGCGGCGGCGGCGAUCGGCGGCCAAGCAUGUCCACCUUCGCCAGAUACACCAAGGAGCUCCGCGAGCUCAUCGCGGGGUCCUCGACCACAGGCCCCUCCUCCGUCCACUACGAGGACAAGCUCCGGGAGGUCCUCUCCAUCCUCCUCCGCGACCACGUCCUACCCUCCCCCACCGCGAACAAGAGGGAGACCACCGUGGUUCUGAAGCUGCUCGACUACACGGCGCGCCGGAACCCCGGGGUCUUCUUCAAUGGCCGCGCCGCCGAGGUCAUCCGCGUCAUCGGCCGCAUCUUCCCCUUCUUCGCUGACCCCGACUUCGGGUCGAUCACAUUCGACGCGGUUUGGUCUCUUCUCUCACUUCUCCGCACAGGUGACAGAGAAGCCUACAGGCAGUUCUUCUUGGAUUCCAUGGUUGCAAUAGAAGAUGUACUAUAUGUAGCAUCAAAGCGUGCGGAAAAGCCAUGUGGUGUACUUUCCAGAUGCCUUGUUAAAUGCCUCUGUGGUUCCUUCUCAGAUAUUUUGGAAUUCCCUGGUUUUUUUAGUGAGCUCCCAGACAGUUGCCAGCCUAAGAAUGGACCUGGUGUGCUGGUUGAUCUGACUGGUGAUAUGAGGUGGCGUCCAUUUGUCACUUCAUUGAUUACACUCAUCAACAAAUGUCUUACAGAUGGGACCCUCUAUGUUGAAGGGCUUGUUAGCAUGCAAUUUGUUUCCUCUGCUUGUUCUAUCCUCUGCUAUGGGGAUGAAUCCUUGCACAAGGUUUGUUUUGAUUUUGCACGGAUUGUUGCAACAGUGAUGAAAGUUGAGAUUCUUCCUAUGGAAACGAUUAUUCGUUCAAUCACAUGUAUUCUGAACCAAGAUGUUGAUGACCUUUCCAUGUUUAGAGAUGCAGAUUAUGACUUUUCAAUGGGUGCCUGCCUCCAUGCUCUUCAUUCUUCAUGCCCUGCUUGCAUUGUUGAGUCUACGGCUGUUGACAUUGUCAAUGUUUUUGCAAGCGCAAUGCAGACCAGUAAAAGUUCAGAGCUUCAGGCUGCAAUGUGUAGUGCAUACAAGAGAAUAGUCAAGGUCUGCUCCCCACUAGUAUGGAAACCAGAAAUCCUUCUGAAAUUGCUGUACUUGCCAAAGCCUUACGACAAACUGAUUGAAUGUAUUAGAUUGGUUGUUGACAAAUUUGGUCGGAGUUUUAUAUGUGUGGAUGACAAUGAUGAUCAAAACAGCUUUCUUAGAAAAUCUGAAGGAUUUGAGUUGCCAAAAGCCGGCCAGAAAAGAAUAGCUCAGAACCAGGAAAAUAAUUCCUCGAAGCGUCAAAAGAUGUCAGAAUCAAGAUUUUCUGUUGGUUCAUUUAUCACUACUGAAUUUUCUGCUGGCAUUGGAUAUGAAGUAGCAAAUGAUUAUGCCUAUGAUUUUCGACUGUCAGUAGAGUCACAUAUUAAGUUCUUGUCACCUGACAAUCACAAAGCUUAUCCAUUGGAGCCUGACAUUGCUAUACAAGUGCUUAGUCUUCUUUGUCUUUCAUUCGGUGUGAAUCCAGAGACAGGUCUGUUUAUUAGAAUUUCUAAGCAAGUUCUCUCCUGGAUCCCUUGGAUCUGCAAACAGGCAACCAAGAAAUGUUUGUUUUCCUUUGACAUAUCACUAUAUCUUGAAGCUCUUCAUGUUGUAAUGCUUCUCCAAUCCUUUCAUCCUGGAGACAUUAAACUGCUUGGAAAUGACGCUCAGUUGAUUGGUGAGAGUAGUGCCGAUUUAAUUCAUUCAAUAUACGUUGAUCUCAUCAGCUUGGUGAAAUGGGUGUGGUCUGAUGGCCAUGUUUCCGCUGAAGCAUGUUCAGACUGGAAAUUAAAAUGCCUUUUGGUACAAGUUAUUGCUACAAUUAGCAACAGAUUGAAUGCUGAAUGUGACCUUGAAGUCCUUGAACUGGCUAUGCAUAGUGAAACUGUGGAGGUUCAAAAUGAAGCUCUUAUGUCACUACCCAUUAUCGUACUGUACUCUGGCCCUAGGAUGCUUGGAGUGAUGUUCAGGAAACUCGAGUCUGUUGGUACUUUAGGACUUGAGAAAGUGUGGAAAAGUAUUGCCUUUUCACUUGGUUUUCUAUCUUGUUUAAAUGGAAACACUAAUGCCACUGACAAAGUGGGGAAUCAUUGCAAGCUGUUCUUGGACAAACACUUUAGACAACCAGUCUCGACAUCAGAUCUUCUCUUAAGAGGUUUCAGGUGCCCUCGGUGUGAUAUCAGAGCCGUUCACACUAAAGAGCAACUUUCUGUUGUGGACAUUGCAGUAUUACAAGAUGAGAAUGUCGACUUCAAGCUUAACAUGUCCAAGGCCCACUUUCUUUUCUUCAAGUUCCUCUAUGCAGAUACUUCCAAAGAAUGUACAAUCUCUAUGGUUGAAGUUUUGCCACGAAUAUUGAGACAUUCUAGCAGGGAGGUUCUACUUGCGACGAAAAUUGAGUGGGUAAAAUGUAUUGAUUUUCUACUACUUCAUGGACUGAAAGCUGUCAGAGAUGCAUUUUCUGGUGUAGUAUCCUGCUUUUUGGAAAAUAGUGUCAUGGACAUUUUGUUUUCAGAUGGGCUGGGAAUGAAUGGAGGGACCAAAGAACUUAACUUCUUGGACAAAAUUAAGCAUGCUUUCACGGAAGCUGAAGAUUCUCACGUUCUCCUGACUCUUUUGGAAUCAACUGCUACAAUUAUGAAGGCUAGUGAUACUCAAGGAGAAGUAUUUUUUGGCUCAUUUGUAUUGCUUAUUGCUCAGCUUGAUAACCAUGAUCACAUCAUAAAGAUGGCCACAUCACGAUUACUUCACAGAUGCUGCAUUUACUGUUUUGAAGGAGGAAUAGAAGUCUUCCUCUCGAAGCACUUCCGUGUUAGAGAUAAUCUGUAUGAUUAUCUGUCAUCUAGACUUUUGACUCAUCCCAGAAUGAUUAGUGAAUUUGCUGAAGCUAUUAUUGGGGUUAAGACUGAAGAGCUGAUUAGGAGAAUGGUUCCAUCAGUUAUACCAAAGCUUAUCGUGUCUCACCCAAACAAUGACCAAGUAGUUAUUACUCUGGAUGAACUGGCAAACCAUCUAAACACUGGACUAGUACCGUUAAUUGUUAAUCAAUUGCCUAAAGUUCUCUCUUUCACUCUUUUUUAUGAAGACGGGCAGCAUUUGCCAUCUGUUCUACAGUUUUAUCACACUGAAACGGGAACUGAUACCAAAGAGAUAUUUGCAGCUGCUUUGCCAGCACUACUUGAUGAAAUUGUUUGUUUUCCUGGGGAAUCUGAUCAGACAGAGACAGAUAGAAGGACAACAAGAAUUUCACCAACAAUACAGAAUAUCGCAAGAAUUUUGACAGGCAAUGACACCCUUCCCGAGUUUUUGAAGAACGAUUUUGUCAGACUUCUAAAUAGCAUUGACAAGAAGAUGCUUCGUUCUGAUGACACGAAGCUUCAAAAACUAGCUCUCCAGCGUAUUCGGAAGUUAGUUGAGAUGAUGGGCCCUUAUUUGAGCACACAUGCACCAAAGAUUAUGGUUCUGUUGAUUUUUUCCAUUGAUAAGGAAGCUCUUCAAAUGGAUGGUCUUGACGUGUUACAUUUUUUCAUAAAGCAAUUGACUGAGGUAUCGCCGACCAGUAUCAAGUAUGUCAUGUCUCAAGUUGUAGCUGCUUUCAUUCCGUCUUUAGAAAGAUGCAGAGAAUGCCCUUUUGCGCACCUGAGCAAAAUUGUUGAAAUCUUAGAAGAACUUGUUCUGAAAAACAGUAUCUUGCUUAAACAACAUAUACGUGAAUUGCCGCUGUUGCCUAGCUUACCAUCUUUGUCAGGAGUAAACAAAGUAAUACAGGAAGCCAGAGGAAUAAUGACUCUGCAAGAUCAUCUAAAGGAUGCUGUUGAUGGUCUUAAUCACGAGAGCUUGAAUGUGCGGUACAUGGUAGCAUGUGAGUUGAGUAAGUUACUCAAGACCAGAAGGGAGGAUAUUACUGCCCUUAUAAUUGGUGAAGAUGUUGCUGAUUUGGAUGUAAUAAGCGCUUUAAUUAUGACUUUACUUAAAGGUUGUGCUGAGGAAUCAAGGACAACUGUUGGCCAGAGAUUGAAACUGGUUUGUGCAGAUUGUCUUGGUGCACUGGGCGCAGUUGAUCCUGCUAAGUUUAAGGUAAUUUCAUCUGAGCGCUUUAAGAUUGAAUGUUCAGACGAUGAUCUUAUAUUUGAGUUGAUCCACAAGCAUCUUGCAAGGGCAUUCAGAGCUGCUUCUGACACUAUGGUACAAGAUUCUGCUGCCUUCGCUAUUCAAGAGCUGCUAAAAUUGGCAGGCUGUCAAUCUUUACCUAACGAAGAUAACGGGAAUGACCCAAGUAGUUGUGAGACGAGCAAAAGGGGCCAGAAGUUGUGGGGACGUUUUUCUGGUUAUGUUAAGGAAAUAAUCGCACCGUGCUUGACAUCAAGAUUUCAGCUUCCUAACGUGAAUGAUGCUGCUUUACCCAGCUCAAUAUACCGCCCAACAAUGUCUUUUAGAAGGUGGCUAUAUUACUGGAUUAGAAAGUUGACGUCACAUGCAACUGGGUCGCGUUGUGGUAUUUUCAGUGCAUGCCGGGGAAUUAUUCGGUAUGACAUGCCAACUGCGCUGUAUCUCCUACCUUACUUGGUUUUAAAUGUUGUUUGCUAUGGAACCCCAGAGGCUCGCCAAAGUAUUACCGAGGAAAUCUUGUCUGUUCUCAAUGCAGCUGCUUCAGAAAGUAGUGAGGCUAUUGUUCAUGGAAUCACUCAGGGACAGAGUGAGGUUUGUAUUCAAGCUAUCUUCACGUUACUUGAUAAUCUUGGGCAAUGGGUUGAUGACCUCAAACAGGAAAUCGCUCUAUCCCAGCCUAGUCAUGUCAUGGCUGGAAAGGAGGCAGGUAAAUCGAAAGAGGAAAACCACUCCCAUUCUAUUUAUGUCCAAGAUCAAUUACUAGUGCAGUGUAGCAAUGUUGCUGAGCUGUUGGCUGCUAUACCUAAAGUUACUCUGGCUAAAACAUCUUUUAGAUGUCAAGCUUAUGCCCGUGCUCUAACAUAUUUUGAAUCUCAUGUCCGAGAGAAAUCUGGGUCCUCCAAUCCAGCUGCAGAAUGUAGUGGCACUUUUUCAGAUGAUGACAUCUCUUUUCUGAUGGAAAUAUAUGGUGGAUUGGAUGAGCCUGAUGGUCUCUUAGGUUUAGCUAAUCUGAGGAAAUCAUCAAACCUACAAGAUCAACUUAUCAUCAAUGAGAAAGCUGGAAAUUGGGCUGAAGUGCUAACACUAAGUGAACAGGCCUUGCAAAUGGAACCUGAUUCUGUCCAUAGACAUUGUGAUGUCCUCAAUUGUUUUCUAAACAUGUGCCACCUUCAAGCCAUGGUCGCACAUGUGGAUGGUUUGGUGUACAGGAUACCUCAGUAUAAGAAAACUUGGUGCAUGCAAGGAGUACAAGCAGCUUGGAGAUUAGGGAGAUGGGAUCUCAUGGAUGAGUACCUACCUGAGGCGGACAAAGGUCUGGUGUGCAGCACUUCUGAGAACAAUGCUUCUUUUGACAUGGGUCUUGCUAAGAUAUUCAAGGCAAUGAUGAACAAAGAUCAGUAUAUGGUUGCUGAAAAGAUUGCCCAGUCCAAGCAAGCAUUGCUUGUACCAUUGGCUGCAGCAGGCAUGGACUCAUACAUGCGUGCAUAUCCUUAUGUUGUAAAGCUGCACAUGCUAUGCGAGCUGGAAGACUUCAACACCCUGCUGGGAGAUGAGUCAUUUCUUGAUAAAUCAUUCCGUGCAGAUGAUCCAAAUUUUCUUAAAUUAACAACAGACUGGGAAAACCGUCUUAGAUGUACACAAUCCUCUCUGUGGGCAAGGGAGCCUUUGCUUGCUUUCCGAAGAAUGGUUUAUAAUCUGAGUCAUAUGAAUGCUCAAGUUGGGAACUGCUGGCUUCAGUAUGCUAAGCUCUGCCGCUUGGCAGGUCAUUAUGAGACAGCCCACCAUGCAAUACUGGAAGCAGAUGCUUCAGGUGCUCCUAAUGCUCACAUGGAGAAGGCAAAACACCUCUGGAAUAUACGGAAAUCUGAUAGCGCUAUAGCUGAACUUCAGCAAACACUUCUGAACAUGCCUGCAGAGGUUUUGGGAAAUGCUGUCCUUUCUUCUCUUUGUAGCCUUUCUCUUGCUUUACCAAAUGCACCUGUCUCUGCGACACAAGCAUCAAAAGAGAAUCCAGAUGUAUCUAAAACCCUUCUUCUUUAUACUAGAUGGAUCCACAACACAGGGCAAAAACAGAGUGAGGAUAUCAAAUCUCACUACAAUAGAGUAACAGAGUUGCGGCCCAAGUGGGAAAAGGGUUUCUUCUGCAUGGCCAAGUUUUUGGACGAUUUGCUUGUUGAUGCCAGGAAGCGCCAGGAAGAUAAAAGAUUCACAUCUGGGGUUGUAGCUGUCCCUCCUAGCUCUGCUGGCUCUUCAAAGGCCCCAGCUGAAGAGAAGCCUUGGUGGGAUUCACUUCCAACUGUCGCACUGUGUUAUGCAAAAGGACUUCACAAAGGACACAAGAAUCUUUUCCAAGCACUACCACGACUACUUACUCUUUGGUUUGAAUUUGGAAACAUAUACAACCAAGCUUCCUCCGAUGCAAUGAAAAACAUUCAUCAUAGGAUGAUAGGCAUCAUGCGUGGGUGCUUGAAGGAUCUGCCAACUUAUCAGUGGCUAACUGUGCUGUCUCAGUUGAUAUCUCGCAUCUGUCAUCAGAAUGCUGAAGUUGUCAAAUCUGUCAAACGCAUUAUCACGUCUGUUUUACAGGCAUACCCUCAGCAAGCACUUUGGAUGAUGGCUGCAUUGUCAAAGUCAACAGUUUCUGCAAGACGAGAUGCUGCCGCAGAAAUAUUACAAUCAGCAAAGAAGAGCUGUCGGCGUGGGAGUGACAAUGGUGCACUGUUUGUUCAGUUUCCUUCUUUAAUAGAACAUCUGAUUAAGCUGUGUUUUCAUCCAGGGCAGCCCAAGGCAAGGGCAAUAAAUAUCUCAACAGAGUUCAGUGCGUUGAAACGAAUGAUGCCACUAGGAAUUAUCUUACCUGUCCAGCAGGCUCUAACUGUAACCCUGCCAUCAUACGACUCAAAUAUGUCAGAUCAAUCUAGUUUUCACCCCUUUUCAGUCUCAGAGCAUCCUACGAUAGCUGGAAUAGCCGACGAUGCAGAGAUCCUUUCCUCUCUUCAGAAACCAAAGAAGGUCGUGUUCCUCGGAAGUGAUGGAGUUCCUCGCCCAUUUCUAUGCAAACCAAAGGAUGAUCUUAGGAAGGAUGCACGCAUGAUGGAGUUCAAUGCCAUGAUCAACCGUCUCCUCUCCAAAGUACCUGAGAGCCGCAGGAGAAAGCUUUAUAUCAGAACCUUCGCUGUGGUUCCACUUACAGAAGAUUGUGGAAUGGUAGAAUGGGUGCCCAACACUCGUGGUCUUCGGCAAAUUCUUCAGGACAUCUAUAUAACUUGUGGGAAGUAUGACAGGGUGAAAACCAACGCGCAUAUCAAGAGGAUAUAUGAUGUUUGUCAUGCUAGUAAAAUUCAUGAAGAUGUGAUGCUGAAAACUAAAAUCCUUCCAAUGUUCCCCCCAGUUUUCCACAAAUGGUUCUUGAUGACAUUCUCUGAACCAGCUGCAUGGUUUCGUGCCAGAGUGGCAUAUGCACAUACCACUGCAGUUUGGUCAAUGGUUGGGCAUAUUGUUGGGCUUGGUGACAGACACGGUGAAAACAUCCUCUUCGACUCGACAACUGGGGACUGUGUUCAUGUGGAUUUCAGUUGCUUGUUUGAUAAAGGUUUGCAGCUUGAGAAGCCUGAGGUGGUGCCAUUUAGGCUUACACAAAACAUGAUUGAUGGCUUGGGCAUCGCUGGAUAUGAAGGUGUCUUUCUGAAAGUCUGUGAAAUUACUCUAUCGGUUCUCAGGACUCACAAGGAGGCACUCAUGACCGUUCUUGAGACCUUUAUCCAUGAUCCACUAGUUGAGUGGACCAAAUCCCAUAAAUCUAGCGGAGUGGAAGUCCGGAAUCCACAUGCUCAGAGGGCUAUCUCUAACAUCACGGAGAGGCUCCAGGGAGUCGUCGUAGGCGUCAAUGCUGCUCCCUCUCUGCCACUUUCUGUGGAAGGCCAAGCGCGGCGCCUAAUUGCUGAAGCAGUUUCGCACAAAAACCUUGGCAAGAUGUACAUCUGGUGGAUGCCUUGGUUCUAAUCUGACAGGCAUGUGGGCUCAAUCAAUCAACUAUGUGGUGUAAAAUAUACUCUGAAGGUCCAACUAAAUUCUACAGCAUGGAGUAGCACUACAACUCUAAACUGACCCUUGGAAGCCUCAAUCUUGGCAUGGCACCGGAUUGUGUAGAGUGCUGGUUGAAUCACAAACAAUAGUAAGAGGGAAUAGGCAAAAAGGAUGACAGGAGGUAAUGAUGCUUCUGCUGGACAUAAAGUGUGGAUUCACCAAGGUGAAGCUGGAUCCUCUGUGACUGAGCUUAGCUGAAGCUGGUGUCCCAUCUUCAUCACCUGAGACUCUGGUUUGCAUCGUUUGGCUCCUCGUUUCAAGUUCUCAACCGCAGGAGAUCCCAACCCAGCUCUCUGUGGGGUGGGCCCUGGUGAGUGUGGCGAGGUUUGACCCACAGGAGGGGCGUGUCUGAACCGGAAACGGCUUUGGGGAGGCAGCAGCGACUGUGUCAGGGUUGCCCUGCUCAUCGAUGCAACUCUCUGCAGAGUGGGCCCCCUACUGGUGCCCCCACGUGUCCUCCAUCGGCCAUGGCCCCCAUCUGGUGGCCAUCUGUGAUUCUGUGGUGGCGCCAUGGACGGAUGGGUUACUGGUGGUGGUGAUUGAUGGUGAGCACAGUCCUCCACGUCAGCUCAUGGACCUGUGGUAAGAUUGUCACUGCACCUGGGAUCGUUGCUAAUCACCGGCUGAUGGACUGGAGCUGGUAACAAAGUUCACUUUGGCAAGUCUUUUUCGAGUGUGUGUGAAGUCCAACAUGUUGGACUAAUGUACUACUACUAUCUAAUUUGCUGGCCAAGAGAGAGGUAUAUAGAUUCGAGCUAGCUCAAGUUUGUAUCAUACUGGUAAGAUAAUCUUACUUUAGCUAACGACUAACAAAAUCCUCUGCUAGGUUGAUCUCAAGAUCAGGCCAGCUCUAGUUAAUCUCUAGCUAGCUCAAGCUCAAUUCAUCAAUACAUCAUGCAUGCAUAUCGUCCAGCUGAA